GAUGAACGCUGGCGGCGUGCCUAAUACAUGCAAGUCGAGCGAACAGACGAGGAGCUUGCUCCUCUGACGUUAGCGGCGGACGGGUGAGUAACACGUGGAUAACCUACCUAUAAGACUGGGAUAACUUCGGGAAACCGGAGCUAAUACCGGAUAAUAUAUUGAACCGCAUGGUUCAAUAGUGAAAGACGGUUUUGCUGUCACUUAUAGAUGGAUCCGCGCCGCAUUAGCUAGUUGGUAAGGUAACGGCUUACCAAGGCAACGAUGCGUAGCCGACCUGAGAGGGUGAUCGGCCACACUGGAACUGAGACACGGUCCAGACUCCUACGGGAGGCAGCAGUAGGGAAUCUUCCGCAAUGGGCGAAAGCCUGACGGAGCAACGCCGCGGGAGUGAUGAAGGGCUUCGGAUCGGAAAACUCUGUUAUUAGGGAAGAACAAAUGUGUAAGUAACUAUGCACGUCUUGACGGUACCUAAUCAGAAAGCCACGGCUAACUACGUGC
rnacentral:rRNA from 1 species